GCCCUCCUUUUUUCUCUCUUUAGUUUUGGGGCAGUUUUUUUUCUCUGCCCUCCUUUUUUCUCUCUUUAGUUUUGGGGCAGUUUCUUUUCUCUGCCCUCCUUUUUUCUCUCUUUAGUUUUGGGGCAGUUUCUUUUCUCUGCCCUCUUCUUCUCUCUUUAGUUUUGGGGUAGUUUCUUUUCUCUGCCCUCUUCUUCUCUCUUUAGUUUUGGGGUAGUUUCUUUUAUGUGUAGUUUUCUGUUUAUGCAAUAGUUCCACCCAUUUCCUGAGGAAUGUGCUGUUUCAGUGGGAAGGGAAACAGUGGGUGGGAGUCUAUCCAUCAUUUUUUGCAUCAACCAAUUAAAUAACUACACUUGGCCGGCAUUCAAUCGCAUCAGCCAACCCCACAUUACGAGCAGUCUGUCGUUUUUUUGCAUUAGCCAGUCGAGAUGCUGUCAGGUUAGUUAAACACCCAAUGCUGUGAGAAGGGGAAAUCUAAAAUUAUCACAAGCACAAAAUCCUGACGCUAAACAGUUUCCAUCAGGAACCGAGUGGCUAUGAAAUAACUUUCUGCGAACAAGCAAAGUUCCGGUUUAACAUUUAUUUGGAACUUAGUAACAAGUUUAAUAAAAACUGGCUUUAAACUCAGAUUCACACAUGAGUUUUCCUUUACUGUACUCGAUACACACUAAUCAGGCCUAAAAUUCUGACCACCUCCCUGUUUCUACACUCAUUGUCCAUCUUAUCAGCUCCACUUACUGUAUAGCUGCACUUCAGUCCAUCUGCUUCUCUGAGACUUUGUUAGCCCCCUUUUAUGCUGUUCCUCAGUGGUCAGGACCCCCAUGGACCCUCACAGAGCAGGUACUAUUUGGGUUGUGGGUCAUUCUCAGCACUGCAGUAACACUGAUAUGGUGGUGGUGGUGGUGUGUUAGUGUGUGUUGUACUGGUCUGAGUGGAUCAGACACAGCAGUGCUGCUGGAGAUUUUAGACACCUCAUUGUCACUGCUGGACUGAGAAUAGUCCAACCACCAAAAAUAUCCAGCCAACAGCGUCCUGUGGCCACUGAUGAAGGACUAGAGGAUGACCAACACAAGCUGCAGCAGCAGAUGAGCUGUCGUCUCUGACGUUACAUCUACAAGGUGGAGCGACAAGAUAGCAGUGUCUAUUAGAGUGGACAGUGAGUGGACACAGUGGUUAAAAACAAGAUAUUUGACCUUGAAUUGCAGUGGAGUUAAAGUAAAUCGCCGCCCGAAAUAGAAACAUUUCAGUUGAAACAACAGGCGACUUCAAAGCUUUAAACUAUCUUCCCGCUUCUGCGUGUCUGAGCAGUCACGGGUUUUCCUUCAAACCGUUGGCUAAUUCAUAAAUGAGACGGAGGUAAUUCACACUUGUGAUUGGCCAAUGCAAUUUGAGUGCCAGAUCUGUUCUAUGAUUGGCUGAUGCGAGAAAUGAUUGACAGCGUCUCCGCCCAUUCGUUACGCUCACUGGUUCUCCGGGCUGCGGCCACACGUUCUUGGUUUCAGCCGUUGUGGACAGUCAGGCUGCAGUUCCCGGAUAGUAUUGGACACUAACUCCUCUCUGCUUCGAGGUAAAAGUGAUGAUUUUAUGAGCUGUGGGGUUUUGUGUUUUGGGGCGACGCUGGGUUGAAUUUGAUCGGUCGUAGACGCCUGUUUAUGCUGUAAAAUGGAUCAAUUUAUUCUGGCACUAAACCUCUAUUUUAGAGUCUAAUCAUGGUUGAACUUCAGUCUUUUUGCUCCAGUAUUUUAAAGCUCGAUUAAGAGUUAAAUUAAGAGCUGAGGAGGAGUUUAAACCGUGGCGGAGAGAUGGAGCUGAAGACCGAGCCGAGCUGAAUCUCUGAGACUUCACUUUCAUUUCUUUUUGGACUCUUGGACUCUUGGACUCUGUUCCAGUCCAGUCCGCGGAUCCACUGGACGGUGAUGAAGCUCUGCUUUAGUUUUGGGGUAGUUUCUUUUCUCUGCCCUCUUUUUCUCUCUCUUUAGUUUUGGGGUAGUUUCUUUUCUCUGCCCUCUUUCUCUCUCUCUUUAGUUUUGGGGCAGUUUCUUUUCUCUGCCCUCUUUCUCUCUCUUUAGUUUUGGGGCAGUUUCUUUUCUCUGCCCUCUUUCUCUCUCUCUUUAGUUUUGGGGCAGUUUCUUUUCUCUGCCCUUUUUCUCUCUCUUUAGUUUUGGGGCAGUUUCUUUUCUCUGCCCUCUUUCUCUCUCUUUAGUUUUGGGGCAGUUUCUUUUCUCUGCCCUCUUUUUCUCUCUUUAGUUUUGGGGUUGUUUCUUUUCUCUGCCCUCCUUUUUUCUCUCUUUAGUUUUGGGGCAGUUUCUUUUCUCUGCCCUCUUUUUCUCUCUCUUUAGUUUUGGGGCAGUUUCUUUUCUCUGCCCUCUUUUUCUCUCUCUUUAGUUUUGGGGCAGUUUCUUUUCUCUGCCCUCUUUUUCUCUCUUUAGUUUUGGGGCAGUUUCUUUUCUCUGCCCUCUUUUUCUCUCUUUAGUUUUGGGGUUGUUUCUUUUCUCUGCCCUCCUUUUUUCUCUCUUUAGUUUUGGGGCAGUUUCUUUUCUCUGCCCUCUUUUUCUCUCUCUUUAGUUUUGGGGCAGUUUCUUUUCUCUGCCCUCUUUUUCUCUCUCUUUAGUUUUGGGGCAGUUUCUUUUCUCUGCCCUCUUUUUCUCUCUCUUUAGUUUUGGGGCAGUUUCUUUUCUCUGCCCUCCUUUCUCUCUCUUUAGUUUUGGGGCAGUUUCUUUUCUCUGCCCUCUUUUUCUCUCUCUGCAGGCCGGACCCUUACAAUUACACACUCUCUGAGU
ensembl:lncRNA